UCCCCAGUCCUGAUAUCUGGAAUCGGUCUUUCCUUCAUCGAUGCCUCAACUCCUCUCUUACUCAAUAUCUACUCAAAUGAUAUCCACAUUAUCAUCCUCAGCGAAAACUCAAGACUGCAACGAUUUCAAGGAGUGAAAACACCAUUCAAGAUUUUUGAACCCAGCUCCUGUCGGUGGCUGACUAGGGAGGCACUCCCAUGCGAAUCGACCAGAUUAUUCGGUUCGGACUUCGGAUAUGGCUCGUGUCGGUACUUAAUUCGAGUCGGAUUAUAGACUUCUUGUCGCUUCGUCCGCGACGGAGAAAUUAUCAGUGCCAUCAGAGCAAGCAAAUUGUGCAACGUGGCCUAACUUGGCCUCUGAGCGUGUGAAAAGGCCCAACUUGGCCUGCUCCCAAAUUCUGGCAAUCCUGCCACGUGUCCUCCGAUUCAAGCUCCUCUUCUGUCCCCUUCCCGAUUCGGCCAUUCCCGCCAUUAUCUCUCUCCCUCUCGUCUCCCUCACCUAAUCGAACUUCCUCUAAUACGACCUUUCUGCAUUUCUAUGAGCUAUACAUUGAUCCUUCUUCGGAGAAUUGGCUCUCUUUCGUGUUAUGGUAAGUAAAUUAGAGCGGUGGCUAGAAUAUUUGAUUCGACGAAGAUAACCCCUGGAAUUUUGCUUAUACGAAGCAUAAGCGCAGAGAUUGGAGAAUGGAAACAGAAGACCUGUAGUGGUAUCUCAAAGGUUAUGAUGAUCGCUGGCUUAUUUGUAAAUGGGCCAUAUGCACUCAUCGCAACUGCAGUUUCUGCUGACCUGGGUGCACACAGUUGUCAGAGAGGGGAUUCUCGAGCAACCGUUAUUGCCAUUGUUGAUGGCUUCUUUUAUCAUGUGAAGUCGCAGCUGAAAUUGCUAAGAAAACUAGUAAACUGAGGCCUCAUCUAGUGAAUGACAAAUUCAUGAAGGUAUGAAUGAGACAGACAGACACACAGAGACACAGAUAGAAACAAAAUGCUCUUGGGAAAUUUCUGGUGUUAUGAUUUCAACCAGGAAGACUAUAAUGUUUUGCAAGGUUUUUCAGAGCUUAUAAGGGCUUUUAAGCAUUCAUAACAAUUACGUCUAGGGCCAAUUCUGAAAGUCAGAAAGUAAAAGUAAAUUAAUUGGGACAUAAAAGGAAAUUCAUUGGGACAUUCAUCUAUCCUUUUGCCUCCCCUCCCCAAAAUAAAAGGUGCAAGAAAGAGAUGAUUGAUUUUACAAGAAAGCCCAAGUCCUAAGCAAAAUUUUAGUAACAUCAACAGACUUCAAUGUCAGUCCAACGAUCAGGGCGUUUUCAAGGCAAGCUGUAACAAGCUGUUUUGUGGGAAGCCAUAAUAGUGUUUCUCAUGUGAGAGAAUUAAAGAAGAAUUGAUGUCCCCUCAAAGCCUUCCACAGCCACAUGUGGAAAGUCUAUGAUUGCUUUGUUAAUUGGAAAUUGUAGGCCAAUCAAUGGGACUAACAUCACUCCUCUAAAUAUGAUAGUUUUGCUUUUUCCAAUUAGGAUGGGACCUACUCUUUGAUUUAUUUAUGUAUCCCAUUUUUUUAAAAUU